rnacentral:rRNA from 1 species
AGCCCAGAGCCUGAAUCAGUGUGUGUGUUAGUGGAAGCGUCUGGAAAGGCGCGCGAUACAGGGUGACAGCCCCGUACACAAAAAUGCACAUGCUGUGAGCUCGAUGAGUAGGGCGGGACACGUGGUAUCCUGUCUGAAUAUGGGGGGACCAUCCUCCAAGGCUAAAUACUCCUGACUGACCGAUAGUGAACCAGUACCGUGAGGGAAAGGCGAAAAGAACCCCGGCGAGGGGAGUGAAAAAGAACCUGAAACCGUGUACGUACAAGCAGUGGGAGCACAGAGCAAUCUGUGUGACUGCGUACCUUUUGUAUAAUGGGUCAGCGACUUAUAUUCUGUAGCAAGGUUAACCGAAUAGGGGAGCCGAAGGGAAACCGAGUCUUAACUGGGCGUUAAGUUGCAGGGUAUAGACCCGAAACCCGGUGAUCUAGCCAUGGGCAGGUUGAAGGUUGGGUAACACUAACUGGAGGACCGAACCGACUAAUGUUGAAAAAUUAGCGGAUGACUUGUGGCUGGGGGUGAAAGGCCAAUCAAACCGGGAGAUAGCUGGUUCUCCCCGAAAGCUAUUUAGGUAGCGCCUCGUGAAUUCAUCUCCGGGGGUAGAGCACUGUUUCGGCAAGGGGGUCAUCCCGACUUACCAACCCGAUGCAAACUGCGAAUACCGGAGAAUGUUAUCACGGGAGACACACGGCGGGUGCUAACGUCCGUCGUGAAGAGGGAAACAACCCAGACCGCCAGCUAAGGUCCCAAAGUCAUGGUUAAGUGGGAAACGAUGUGGGAAGGCCCAGACAGCCAGGAUGUUGGCUUAGAAGCAGCCAUCAUUUAAAGAAAGCGUAAUAGCUCACUGGUCGAGUCGGCCUGCGCGGAAGAUGUAACGGGGCUAAACCAUGCACCGAAGCUGCGGCAGCGACACUGUGUGUUGUUGGGUAGGGGAGCGUUCUGUAAGCCUGUGAAGGUGUGCUGUGAGGCAUGCUGGAGGUAUCAGAAGUGCGAAUGCUGACAUAAGUAACGAUAAAGCGGGUGAAAAGCCCGCUCGCCGGAAGACCAAGGGUUCCUGUCCAACGUUAAUCGGGGCAGGGUGAGUCGACCCCUAAGGCGAGGCCGAAAGGCGUAGUCGAUGGGAAACAGGUUAAUAUUCCUGUACUUGGUGUUACUGCGAAGGGGGGACGGAGAAGGCUAUGUUGGCCGGGCGACGGUUGUCCCGGUUUAAGCGUGUAGGCUGGUUUUCCAGGCAAAUCCGGAAAAUCAAGGCUGAGGCGUGAUGACGAGGCACUACGGUGCUGAAGCAACAAAUGCCCUGCUUCCAGGAAAAGCCUCUAAGCAUCAGGUAACAUCAAAUCGUACCCCAAACCGACACAGGUGGUCAGGUAGAGAAUACCAAGGCGCUUGAGAGAACUCGGGUGAAGGAACUAGGCAAAAUGGUGCCGUAACUUCGGGAGAAGGCACGCUGAUAUGUAGGUGAAGUCCCUCGCGGAUGGAGCUGAAAUCAGUCGAAGAUACCAGCUGGCUGCAACUGUUUAUUAAAAACACAGCACUGUGCAAACACGAAAGUGGACGUAUACGGUGUGACGCCUGCCCGGUGCCGGAAGGUUAAUUGAUGGGGUCAGCGCAAGCGAAGCUCUUGAUCGAAGCCCCGGUAAACGGCGGCCGUAACUAUAACGGUCCUAAGGUAGCGAAAUUCCUUGUCGGGUAAGUUCCGACCUGCACGAAUGGCGUAAUGAUGGCCAGGCUGUCUCCACCCGAGACUCAGUGAAAUUGAACUCGCUGUGAAGAUGCAGUGUACCCGCGGCAAGACGGAAAGACCCCGUGAACCUUUACUAUAGCUUGACACUGAACAUUGAGCCUUGAUGUGUAGGAUAGGUGGGAGGCUUUGAAGUGUGGACGCCAGUCUGCAUGGAGCCGACCUUGAAAUACCACCCUUUAAUGUUUGAUGUUCUAACGUGGACCCGUGAUCCGGGUUGCGGACAGUGUCUGGUGGGUAGUUUGACUGGGGCGGUCUCCUCCUAAAGAGUAACGGAGGAGCACGAAGGUUGGCUAAUCCUGGUCGGACAUCAGGAGGUUAGUGCAAUGGCAUAAGCCAGCUUGACUGCGAGCGUGACGGCGCGAGCAGGUGCGAAAGCAGGUCAUAGUGAUCCGGUGGUUCUGAAUGGAAGGGCCAUCGCUCAACGGAUAAAAGGUACUCCGGGGAUAACAGGCUGAUACCGCCCAAGAGUUCAUAUCGACGGCGGUGUUUGGCACCUCGAUGUCGGCUCAUCACAUCCUGGGGCUGAAGUAGGUCCCAAGGGUAUGGCUGUUCGCCAUUUAAAGUGGUACGCGAGCUGGGUUUAGAACGUCGUGAGACAGUUCGGUCCCUA